rnacentral:rRNA from 1 species
AACGAACGCUGGCGGCAUGCCUAACACAUGCAAGUCGAACGAUUGCCUUCGGGUGAUAGUGGCGCACGGGUGCGUAACGCGUGGGAAUCUGCCCUUAGGUUCGGAAUAACAGCUGGAAACGGCUGCUAAUACCGGAUGAUAUCGCGAGAUCAAAGAUUUAUCGCCUGAGGAUGAGCCCGCGUUGGAUUAGGUAGUUGGUGGGGUAAAGGCCUACCAAGCCGACGAUCCAUAGCUGGUCUGAGAGGAUGAUCAGCCACACUGGGACUGAGACACGGCCCAGACUCCUACGGGAGGCAGCAGUGGGGAAUAUUGGACAAUGGGCGCAAGCCUGAUCCAGCUAUGCCGCGUGAGUGAUGAAGGCCCUAGGGUUGUAAAGCUCUUUUACCCGGGAAGAUAAUGACUGUACCGGGAGAAUAAGCCCCGGCUAACUCCGUG